UCGUAAAGGUGCAUGAGUGGUGUUUGGUUUGUUACGUMGUGUGUUGGCUGCGGCGUUUGCAACAACUUCCAUGCUUUCAGACCUCUUCAGUUGUGCGGCAAGGCUUGUAUCGCCUUGAGCGUAUUGUGGGUUUUCUGUGUUGGCUACCUAAUCAAUGGUAUCGGUUGGAUUGAUCAAUGUUUCAUUUCGUCUACCGUCGCAUUCGCGGCGUGAGAUGAACCUUGAUGCGGUCUCUUUGAUCCACCUCGUCGAAGCGCAUGCUUUGGCGUUGUGGCACAUUGAGCAUUGCUUGGUCUCUUGUAUACGGAACAUAUAGUGGGCAUGGAUCUAACGAUUCUCGUUUGCCCUCAUAUUAGCGUAACGCUUCUCUUACACGACUUGCUCCACGUUUUAGCUCGUACGGACGUGGUGCUAUGUCGAAGAGGAAUGCUACCUGGUUGAUCCUGCCAGUAGUCAUAUGCSUUGUCUCAAAGAUUAAGCCAUGCAUGUGUAARU
rnacentral:misc_RNA from 1 species